AGUGGCGAACUGGUGAGUAACACGUGGGAAACCUGCCCAGAAGCGGGGGAUAACACCUGGAAACAGAUGCUAAUACCGCAUAACAACUUGGACCGCAUGGUCCGAGUUUGAAAGAUGGCUUCGGCUAUCACUUCUGGAUGGUCCCGCGGCGUAUUAGCUAGAUGGUGAGGUAACGGCUCACCAUGGCAAUGAUACGUAGCCGACCUGAGAGGGUAAUCGGCCACAUUGGGACUGAGACACGGCCCAAACUCCUACGGGAGGCAGCAGUAGGGAAUCUUCCACAAUGGACGAAAGCCUGAUGGAGCAACGCCGCGUGAGUGAAGAAGGGUUUCGGCUCGUAAAACUCUGUUGUUAAAGAAGAACAUAUCUGAGAGUAACUGUUCAGGUAUUGACGGUAUUUAACCAGAAAGCCACGGCUAACUACGUGCCAGCAGCCGCGGUAAUACGUAGGUGGCAAGCGUUGUCCGGAUUUAUUGGGCGUAAAGCGAGCGCAGGCGGUUUUUUAAGUCUGAUGUGAAAGCCUUCGGCUCAACCGAAGAAGUGCAUCGGAAACUGGGAAACUUGAGUGCAGAAGAGGACAGUGGAACUCCAUGUGUAGCGGUGAAAUGCGUAGAUAUAUGGAAGAACACCAGUGGCGAAGGCGGCUGUCUGGUCUGUAACUGACGCUGAGGCUCGAAAGUAUGGGUAGCAAACAGGAUUAGAUACCCUGGUAGUCCAUACCGUAAACGAUGAAUGCUAAGUGU
rnacentral:rRNA from 1 species